CAGGCCUAACACAUGCAAGUCGAACGGUAACAGGAAACAGCUUGCUGUUUCGCUGACGAGUGGCGGACGGGUGAGUAAUGUCUGGGAAACUGCCUGAUGGAGGGGGAUAACUACUGGAAACGGUAGCUAAUACCGCAUAACGUCCCAAGACCAAAGAGGGGGACCUUCGGGCCUCUUGCCAUCGGAUGUGCCCAGAUGGGAUUAGCUAGUAGGUGGGGUAACGGCUCACCUAGGCGACGAUCCCUAGCUGGUCUGAGAGGAUGACCAGCCACACUGGAACUGAGACACGGUCCAGACUCCUACGGGAGGCAGCAGUGGGGAAUAUUGCACAAUGGGCGCAAGCCUGAUGCAGCCAUGCCGCGUGUAUGAAGAAGGCCUUCAGGUUGUAAAGUACUUUCAGCGGGGAGGAAGGGAGUAAAGUUAAUACCUUUGCUCAUUGACGUUACCCGCAGAAGAAGCACCGGCUAACUCCGUGCCAGCAGCCGCGGUAAUACGGAGGGUGCAAACGUUAAUCCGGAAUUACUGGGCGUAAAGCGCACGCAGGCGGUUUGUUAAGUCAGAUGUGAAAUCCCCGGGCUCAACCUGGGAACUGCAUCUGAUACUGGCAAGCUGNAGUCUCGUAGAGGGGGGUAGAAUUCCAGGUGUAGCGGUGAAAUGCGUAGAGAUCUGGAGGAAUACCGGUGGCGAAGGCGGCCCCCUGGACGAAGACUGACGCUCAGGUGCGAAAGCGUGGGGAGCAAACAGGAUUAGAUACCCUGGUAGUCCACGCCGUAAACGAUGUCGACUUGGAGGUUGUGCCCUUGAGGCGUGGCUUCCGGAGCUAACGCGUUAAGUCGACCGCCUGGGGAGUACGGCCGCAAGGUUAAAACUCAAAUGAAUUGACGGGGGCCCGCACAAGCGGUGGAGCAUGUGGUUUAAUUCGAUGCAACGCGAAGAACCUUACCUGGUCUUGACAUCCACGGAAGUUUUCAGAGAUGAGAAUGUGCCUUCGGGAACCGUGAGACAGGUGCUGCAUGGCUGUCGUCAGCUCGUGUUGUGAAAUGUUGGGUUAAGUCCCGCAACGAGCGCAACCCUUAUCCUUUGUUGCCAGCGGUCCGGCCGGGAACUCAAAGGAGACUGCCAGUGAUAAACUGGAGGAAGGUGGGGAUGACGUCAAGUCAUCAUGGCCCUUACGACCAGGGCUACACACGUGCUACAAUGGCGCAUACAAAGAGAAGCGACCUCGCGAGAGCAAGCGGACCUCAUAAAGUGCGUCGUAGUCCGGAUUGGAGUCUGCAACUCGACUCCAUGAAGUCGGAAUCGCUAGUAAUCGUGGAUCAGAAUGCCACGGUGAAUACGUUCCCGGGCCUUGUACACACCGCCCGUCACACCAUGGGAGUGGGUUGCAAAAGAAGUAGGUAGCUUAACCUUCGGGAGGGCGCUUACCACUUUGUGAUUCAUGACUGGGGUGAAGUCG
rnacentral:rRNA from 1 species